rnacentral:tRNA from 1 species
UCCCUAGUAGCUCAGCAGGUAAAGAAUCUGCCUGCAAUGCAGGAGACCCUGGUUUGAUUCCUGGGUUGGGAA